CCAAACCACCGGUACAACUUGGGCCGAUACUGGAGAUCUCGUCUAACAUGCCAACAUCCUUCUCACACUGCGCCUGCACGUCGCUGCAAAGGAAAAGAUGUCAUUAACCUGGAAGUAUCACGGGAUGUAUUCCAAAUUUAUGGAGUACUUGUGCAAGUUGGUUCUCGUAAGUGAUAAAUAUAGUCCAAAUUAGAGAUAUAUAAUCGCAUUGUUAAUUUGUUAUAGGCAAUAUAAUUAGAGUUGCGGCGAAUAGGCCAGUGCGGCAUUCGCAUGGUAACAUUGGAAAUUAGAGGUAUACUGUAGUAUCACAGCGACAUGCUGAUAAUUAGCUUUACUAGCCCGACUAAAAAGUUGUACCGGUGGUUUGGGCAUACUGGUCAUAUAGCGUAUUUCUUCGCUUGAUAUUUCAUGUAAAAAUUCCGCUCUUCUCAAAAUCAGCUCGCGCUCGCU